AUCCAGCUAACGAGUCCCAAAUAGAACGAAACACUCGUUCUAGAU
rnacentral:hammerhead_ribozyme from 1 species